AUUAAAGUUUAUGAAAAAAGAAUGAAUGUAUAUGCAUUUUUGAUUUAUUUACAUAAAUGAAACAUUUUCAAGUCUUUGAACAGAUCUUGAAGUAUUUGCUGUCCUGUGGCGCCAUCGAGUGGACAACAUUAACAUUGUGCCCUUCAUUUUUGAACAACAUUAUGAAAGGGGGGAAUAUUUUUUGAUUGAUUAUAAAUAUUUAAUGAUUAGUUUACUGAUAAUAUACCCACAUUAAAAUCGAAUUUACUGAUUCUGUAUCUUAUUUCAUGCUUAAUCAUGAGUUUAAUUUUCAACUUACAUUUUUAAGCAGUGUUGAAUGAUUACUAUGUGAGUUGCUAAAUUUGUUUUGUUUUUACAAUUAUAAUACAUAAACUAUAUAAUGAUGAAAAAUACAACAUUUAUUGUUUUCAUAAUAUUUACUAUUGACAAUCGUUAUUCUGUAUUGUAAAGAAGAAGGUUUUUAUGACAACAAAAAUGGUCAUUACUAAAAAUUCAAAUUUAAUUUAAAUUAUAGUUUUAUUUUUCUAUAGGUUAAGCACCUUUUUGUAAAUAUGGCUGUUUCCCAGUUUUAUUUUUUUUUUUGUUUGUUUGUUUUUUUGUUUUUUUUUUUAGGAUUUACAUUUAAAAAAAUGAGCCUACUUCAAACAUUUUAAGCAGCUUGAACAAAACCUGUUAAUAUUUAUUAUAGACCACUGUAACUGUCUAUUAUCUAAAAAAAAAAACAAAUUUAUUAUGAAAAUAAAAGUGUGUACACCAGUUAAACUGGACGAUAAAGAAAUUGCUAACAAUAGUUUAAUAGAGCAUGUUUUAGGUUUAUAGGUGUUUAGAUGCAGAAAUUUAAUUUAAUUAAAUAUAGAUUAAUUCUU
ensembl:lncRNA